ACAGGGUGGAAAUUUCCCCUCAACAAGUUCGGACACUUCACAAAAAACACCAAAGCGACGGGACAACGACACAUGUGUCUACGAACUGUUGUGGUUGCGCGAAAAAGGGGACCAGAAUAGUCUGGAUCAUGACCUGCAUCCCCUUUGACCAUAUUAGGAGGUUCCACGGAUCCACUUCAUGAGACCCAAACAGAACCAGGUGUCCGGCUGCAGCUCUACUGUUCAUUGUUCCAGAGCAUUCCUGAGGGACCGGCCAGCGCUGCAGGGUCUGUGUGCCUUGCAUUUGUUGGUGAUGAUUAAUAAUUUACCACAGGCUCCAUCAACCAGU